rnacentral:tRNA from 1 species
GGGGAUAUGGCGGAAUCGGCAGACGCUACGGACUUAAAAUCCGUUGAUUAUUAUAAUCGUGAGGGUUCAAGUCCCUCUAUCCCCA